GACGAACGCUGGCGGCGUGCCUAACACAUGCAAGUCGAGCGAGGAGAGUUCCUUCGGGAACAAACCUAGCGGCGGACGGGUGAGUAACACGUGGGCAACCUGCCUUGUAGAGGGAAUAGCCUUCCGAAAGGAAGAUUAAUACCGCAUAACAUUACAGUUUCGCAUGAAACAGUAAUUAAAGGAGCAAUCCGCUACAAGAUGGGCCCGCGGCGCAUUAGCUAGUUGGUGAGGUAACGGCUCACCAAGGCGACGAUGCGUAGCCGACCUGAGAGGGUGAUCGGCCACAUUGGGACUGAGACACGGCCCAGACUCCUACGGGAGGCAGCAGUGGGGAAUAUUGCACAAUGGGGGAAACCCUGAUGCAGCAACGCCGCGUGAGUGAUGAAGGUUUUCGGAUCGUAAAGCUCUGUCUUCGGGGACGAUAAUGACGGUACCCGAGGAGGAAGCCACGGCUAACUACGUG
rnacentral:rRNA from 1 species